GUUAUAUUUGACGGUACCCUUAAAGGAAGCACCGGCUAACUCCGUGCCAGCAGCCGCGGAUAAUACGGAGGGUGCAAGCSUUGUUCGGAAUCACUGGGCGUAAAGGGCGCGCAGGCGGNUUUGGUAAGUCAGAUGUGAAAGCCCACGGCUUAACCGUGGAAGUGCAUUUGAAACUGCCAGACUUGAGUACCAGAGGGGAAAGUGGAAUUCCCGGUGUAGAGGUGAAAUUCGUAGAUAUCGGGAGGAAUACCGGUGGCGAAGGCGACUUUCUGGCUGAGUACUGACGCUGAGGCGCGAAASUGGGGGAGCAAACAGGAUUAGAUACCCUGGUAGUCCACGCCGUAAACGAUGUCAACUAGAUGUAGGGGGUGUUGAUCCCCUCUGUGUCGCAGCUAACGCAUUAAGUUGACCGCCUGGGGAGUACGGUCGCAAGAUUAUNNCUCAAAGGAAUUGACGGGG
rnacentral:rRNA from 1 species